AGGGGAGUUUGAUCAUGGGCUCAGGAUGAACGCUGGCGGUAUGCUUAACACAUGCAAGUCGAACGGAUGUUUUCGGACAUUAGUGGCGGACGGGUGAGUAACGCGUGAGAAUCUAGCUUCAGGUUGGGGACAACAGUUGGAAACGACUGCUAAUACCGAAUGUGCCGAAAGGUGAAAGAUUUAUUGCCUGAAGAAGAGCUCGCGUCUGAUUAGCUAGUUGGUGGGGUAAGAGCUUACCAAGGCGACGAUCGGUAGCUGGUCUGAGAGGACGAUCAGCCACACUGGGACUGAGACACGGCCCAGACUCCUACGGGAGGCAGCAGUGGGGAAUUUUCCGCAAUGGGCGAAAGCCUGACGGAGCAAUACCGCGUGAGGGAAGAAGGCUCUUGGGUUGUAAACCUCUUUUCUGAAGGAAGAAAAAAAUGACGGUACUUCAGGAAUCAGCAUCGGCUAACUCCGUGCCAGCAGCCGCGGUAAUACGGAGGAUGCAAGCGUUAUCCGGAAUGAUUGGGCGUAAAGCGUCCGCAGGUGGCAAUUCAAGUCUGCGGUUAAAGGUUCUGGCUCAACCAGAGACAAGCCGUGGAAACUGAAUAGCUAGAGUAUGGUAGGGGCAGAGGGAAUUCCCAGUGUAGCGGUGAAAUGCGUAGAGAUUGGGAAGAACACCGGUGGCGAAAGCGCUCUGCUAGGCCAAAACUGACACUGAGGGGACGAAAGCUAGGGGAGCGAAUGGGAUUAGAUACCCCAGUAGUCCUAGCCGUAACGAUGGAUACUAGGUGUAGCUUGU
rnacentral:rRNA from 1 species